CCUACGGGUGGCAGCAGUGAGGAAUAUUGGUCAAUGGGCGGGAGCCUGAACCAGCCAAGUCGCGUGAGGGAAGACGGUCCUAUGGAUUGUAAACCUCUUUAGGCGGGGAGCAAUGCCGGGCACGCGUGCCCGGAGGGAGAGUACCCGCAGAAUAAGCAUCGGCUAACUCCGUGCCAGCCGCCGCGGUAAUACGGAGGAUGCGAGCGUUAUCCGGAUUUAUUGGGUUUAAAGGGUGCGUAGGCGGAUUUUUAAGUCAGCGGUAAAAUGUCCGGGCUCAACCCGGGCCGGCCGUUGAGACUGGGGAUCUUGAGUGAGCGAGAAGUAUGCGGAAUGCGUGGUGUAGCGGUGAAAUGCAUAGAUAUCACGCAGAACUCCGAUUGCGAAGGCAGCAUACCGGCGCCCGACUGACGCUGAGGCACGAAAGCGUGGGGAUCGAACAGGAUUAGAUACCCCAGUAGUC
rnacentral:rRNA from 1 species